rnacentral:rRNA from 1 species
GACGGGGGGGGCAAGUGUUCUUCGGAAUGACUGGGCGUAAAGGGCACGUAGGCGGUGAAUCGGGUUGAAAGUGAAAGUCGCCAAAAAGUGGCGGAAUGCUCUCGAAACCAAUUCACUUGAGUGAGACAGAGGAGAGUGGAAUUUCGUGUGUAGGGGUGAAAUCCGUAGAUAUCCGGAGGAACACCAGUGGCGAAAGCGGCCACCUGGACUGUACCUGGACGCUCAAACGCGGAAAGCUAGGGGAGCGAAACGG